GUUCGGACAAAUGGUACAUGUGCCUGCUCGACCGAGCAAUGGCACGACGCUAUCGUCCGAGG
rnacentral:sRNA from 1 species